rnacentral:rRNA from 1 species
GCUCAGGAUGAACGCUGGCGGCGUGCUUAACACAUGCAAGUCGAACGAUGAUCCCCAGCUUGCUGGGGGGAUUAGUGGCGAACGGGUGAGUAACACGUGAGUAACCUGCCCUUAACUCUGGGAUAAGCCUGGGAAACUGGGUCUAAUACCGGAUAUGACUCCUCAUCGCAUGGUGGGGGGUGGAAANCUUUUUUGUGGUUUUGGAUGGACUCGCGGCCUAUCAGCUUGUUGGUGAGGUAAUGGCUUACCAAGGCGACGACGGGUAGCCGGCCUGAGAGGGUGACCGGCCACACUGGGACUGAGACACGGCCCAGACUCCUACGGGAGGCAGCAGUGGGGAAUAUUGCACAAUGGGCGCAAGCCUGAUGCAGCGACGCCGCGUGAGGGAUGACGGCCUUCGGGUUGUAAACCUCUUUCAGUAGGGAAGAAGCGAAAGUGACGGUACCUGCAGAAGAAGCGCCGGCUAACUACGUGCCAGCAGCCGCGGUAAUACGUAGGGCGCAAGCGUUAUCCGGAAUUAUUGGGCGUAAAGAGCUCGUAGGCGGUUUGUCGCGUCUGCCGUGAAAGUCCGGGGCUCAACUCCGGAUCUGCGGUGGGUACGGGCAGACUAGAGUGAUGUAGGGGAGACUGGAAUUCCUGGUGUAGCGGUGAAAUGCGCAGAUAUCAGGAGGAACACCGAUGGCGAAGGCAGGUCUCUGGGCAUAACUACGCUAG